rnacentral:rRNA from 1 species
AACGAACGCUGGCGGCAUGCCUAACACAUGCAAGUCGAACGAGAUCCUUCGGGGUCUAGUGGCGCACGGGUGCGUAACGCGUGGGAAUCUGCCCUUAGGUUCGGAAUAACAGUUAGAAAUGACUGCUAAUACCGGAUGAUGACGUUAAGUCCAAAGAUUUCUCGCCUGAGGAUGAGCCCGCGUAGGAUUAGCUAGUUGGUGUGGUAAAGGCGCACCAAGGCGACGAUCCUUAGCUGGUCUGAGAGGAUGAUCAGCCACACUGGGACUGAGACACGGCCCAGACUCCUACGGGAGGCAGCAGUGGGGAAUAUUGGACAAUGGGCGCAAGCCUGAUCCAGCAAUGCCGCGUGAGUGAUGAAGGCCUUAGGGUUGUAAAGCUCUUUUACCCGGGAUGAUAAUGACAGUACCGGGAGAAUAAGCCCCGGCUAACUCCGUG